rnacentral:pre_miRNA from 1 species
AAAGUACUCCCUCCAUCCCAAAAUUCUUGUCUUAGAUUUGUCUAGAUACAGAUGUAUCAAGUCACAUUUUAGUAUUAGANGUAUUAGAUACAUCCGUAUCUAGACAAAUCUAAGACAAGAAAUUUGGGACAGAGGGAGUAGUUG